AGGAGGAACAGCCCCAGUGGCGGGGCCAGCUCUGGAAACCUGGAUUCAGCUCAGUCAGGAACUCCGUCUGCAGGGCCUGGAGGCUCCGGGGCGGG
rnacentral:pre_miRNA from 1 species